UCUGCGUGGAGGAGCUGAACAGACUCCACGAAGCGAACGAGAAGACGACGCGAUAGAAGGAAAAAAAAGACAAUCGAGAUCAUCGCUGCCACAGAUGGUGUUGCAAUUGGAGCAGCUGAAAUCGAGAUUGCAAUUGCAACAUUGCAAGAACAGCAGCUGCAGCAACCGCAAUAGCAGCAGCAACAGCACCAGUAGGAGCUGCAGCAGGAGCUGCAGCAGAUGUGGGAGCGGCCAAGAAUAGUUCGAAAUAGACGAGGACAUGGCUGCUCCCGUGCAUUAUGGCAUGCACGAAGGGGUAUAGUCCCUUAGUAGAGAGGAAGAGCCAGAGGUAGUCGCGGAGACCGAGGAGGAGGCCACCGAGAAGGCCGCAGAAGAGGUCGUGGAGGAGGCCGUGGAGAAGGCCGUGGAGGAGAAAGUUGCGACAUCACUGCCACUACUGGCCC